rnacentral:rRNA from 1 species
UGGGAAGGAGAAGUCGUAACAAGGUUUCCGUAGGUGAACCUGCGGAAGGAUCAUUCAUGUUUUAUAUUAUUCUAAGUUGUUUUUAUUAACUUCUUCAGUGUACUAUUAUUUUUGCGGUCAACUUCCUUCUCCUUUGUGAGAUUGUAUUUUUUUGGUAAUCUUUGUCUUCAUGUACACUUAGUGCAUGUUGUCAGAUUUUAUCUACAUGUAACAUAACAAUUUUUUGAGAACAGAAAAGAAAACUAAGUUUUUCUUAUUAUUGACAUACAACCCGUGGCGGGGGAUGUCUCGGCUUCCACAUCGAUGAAGAACGUAGCAAAAUGCGAUAUGUAAUGCGAUUUGCAGAACUCGUGAGUCAUCGAAUUUUUGAACGCAAGUGGCGCUCGCGGGAAAUCCUGCGAGCACGUCUGUUUGAGUGUCCGUACAAAAACUAAAACACAUGUUUUUUUGACCUUUGUUUCCCUUUGACGACUUGAGAGUAUAUUUUAUAUGUUCUCUUGUUGCCAGUGUUGAGUGCUUCCGUUCACAAUUUCCCUUCGAGGUUAUAUAGGAUGGUCACUUUAAGUUGAGAGGUUGCUGAUCGAUCCACUUUAUUGUGUCGAGCGGUAACCAUUGUUUUGACAUUAGUCUUUUUUGCAUARACCAAUAUCUUUUGUUUUUUGUUUUGAGACUCUUUCUUUUGGGUUUUGACUCUGGUGGAUACAUUAAUUUGUGUUUGUCUAGGAUUUGAUUUGUGUCCUUUCAGUCGAGGCGUAAUGGUUGUGAAAUGAUGAAUCUAAUUCUUUUUACUAGCAACUAUUCUGACUCUUGGAGGUUUGAUCUGCUUAUCUGAAAAGGUUGAAGUCGUGUGAGGGGAGAGACUUGACGAAAAUGGUAGGGGUCGCGCUUAACGCAGUCUAGGUAACUAGGUGGUGAAGGGCAAUUGCUGUUUAGACUGUCGAGACGAAAUUUAUGUUUUGGAUCUCAAAUCAGGCGAGACUACCCGCUGAAUUUAAGCAUAUCAAUAGG